GUAAAAGAGAUCACCCACCUAAGAUGAAACCAUCAUCAAAAGGUAAUAAUAAUUUGGAUUUCUUUAUAAGUCCAGGAAUUUUUAAGUCUACCGGGAGUAGAAGUGUUGAAGAGGAGGUGGACAAUGAUUGCGAGUGGUGGGAUGAUGACGCAGAUAGUAUUUUAACUCAGUUGCAAAUGGAUAUGAAUAAAAAUGAUCCCUUUUUAAAAAUAAUUAUGGUGCUUAAAUUAAUAUACGGAUCAGUAUUGAACCAAUUGAAUGACAUAAAAGGAACAUUGAACUCUUUUGGAGAGGACUUAUUGAGAAAUAG
rnacentral:lncRNA from 1 species